rnacentral:sRNA from 2 species
UUAAUUUGCUUCUAGGGUUCCGGUUCUUUGAACGUCUGGUCCGAGAGAAGCAAGCUAACCCGAAUGUUAGCUACACGGCGGGAGAAAAGCCCGGGAGAA